rnacentral:rRNA from 1 species
AAAUCUGGUUGAUCCUGCCAGAGGCGACCGCUUUUGGAGUUCGAUUAAGCCAUGCGAGUCGAGAGCCUUAGGGGCUCGGCAUACUGCUCAGUAACACGUGGAUAACCUGCCCUAUUGUCUGGAAUAACCUCGGGAAACUGAGAACAAGGCCGGAUAACCCACAAUGCCUGGAACGGUUUGUGGGUGAAGAUAGGAUGGGUCUGCGGCGUAUCAGGUCGUAGGGGGUGUAAUGGACCUCCUAGCCAUCGACGCGUACGGGUGUUGGGAGACAUAGCCCGGAGAUGGAUUCUGAGACACGAAUCCAGACCCUACGGGGUGCAGCAGGCGCGAAAACUUCACACUGC